UGGGGAAUCUUGCGCAAUGGGCGAAAGCCUGACGCAGCCAUGCCGCGUGAAUGAUGAAGGUCUUAGGAUUGUAAAAUUCUUUCACCGGGGACGAUAAUGACGGUACCCGGAGAAGAAGCCCCGGCUAACUUCGUGCCAGCAGCCGCGGUAAUACGAAGGGGGCUAGCGUUGCUCGGAAUUACUGGGCGUAAAGGGAGCGUAGGCGGACAUUUAAGUCAGGGGUGAAAUCCCGGGGCUCAACCUCGGAAUUGCCUUUGAUACUGGGUGUCUUGAGUAUGAGAGAGGUGUGGGGAACUCCGAGUGUAGAGGUGAAAUUCGUGGAGAUUCGGAAGAACACCAGUGGCGAAGGCGACACACUGGCUCAUUACUGACGCUGAGGCUCGAAAGCGUGGGGAGCAAACAGG
rnacentral:rRNA from 1 species